UAGCUCGGUCGGUUAGAGCGUGGUGCUGACAACACCAAGGUCGUGGGUUCGAUCCCCAU
rnacentral:tRNA from 1 species